rnacentral:rRNA from 1 species
GGGUUGUGAGGUUAAGCGACUAAGCGUACACGGUGGAUGCCCUGGCAGUCAGAGGCGAUGAAGGACGUGCUAAUCUGCGAUAAGCGUCGGUAAGGUGAUAUGAACCGUUAUAACCGGCGAUUUCCGAAUGGGGAAACCCAGUGUGUUUCGACACACUAUCAUUAACUGAAUCCAUAGGUUAAUGAGGCGAACCGGGGGAACUGAAACAUCUAAGUACCCCGAGGAAAAGAAAUCAACCGAGAUUCCCCCAGUAGCGGCGAGCGAACGGGGAGGAGCCCAGAGCCUGAAUCAGUGUGUGUGUUAGUGGAAGCGUCUGGAAAGGCGCGCGAUACAGGGUGACAGCCCCGUACACAAAAAUGCACAUACUGUGAGCUCGAUGAGUAGGGCGGGACACGUGGUAUCCUGUCUGAAUAUGGGGGGACCAUCCUCCAAGGCUAAAUACUCCUGACUGACCGAUAGUGAACCAGUACCGUGAGGGAAAGGCGAAAAGAACCCCGGCGAGGGGAGUGAAAAAGAACCUGAAACCGUGUACGUACAAGCAGUGGGAGCCUCUUAAUGGGGUGACUGCGUACCUUUUGUAUAAUGGGUCAGCGACUUAUAUUCUGUAGCAAGGUUAACCGAAUAGGGGAGCCGAAGGGAAACCGAGUCUUAACUGGGCGUUAAGUUGCAGGGUAUAGACCCGAAACCCGGUGAUCUAGCCAUGGGCAGGUUGAAGGUUGGGUAACACUAACUGGAGGACCGAACCGACUAAUGUUGAAAAAUUAGCGGAUGACUUGUGGCUGGGGGUGAAAGGCCAAUCAAACCGGGAGAUAGCUGGUUCUCCCCGAAAGCUAUUUAGGUAGCGCCUCGUGAAUUCAUCUCCGGGGGUAGAGCACUGUUUCGGCAAGGGGGUCAUCCCGACUUACCAACCCGAUGCAAACUGCGAAUACCGGAGAAUGUUAUCACGGGAGACACACGGCGGGUGCUAACGUCCGUCGUGAAGAGGGAAACAACCCAGACCGCCAGCUAAGGUCCCAAAGUCAUGGUUAAGUGGGAAACGAUGUGGGAAGGCCCAGACAGCCAGGAUGUUGGCUUAGAAGCAGCCAUCAUUUAAAGAAAGCGUAAUAGCUCACUGGUCGAGUCGGCCUGCGCGGAAGAUGUAACGGGGCUAAACCAUGCACCGAAGCUGCGGCAGCGACACUUUGUGUUGUUGGGUAGGGGAGCGUUCUGUAAGCCUGCGAAGGUGUACUGUGAGGUAUGCUGGAGGUAUCAGAAGUGCGAAUGCUGACAUAAGUAACGAUAAAGCGGGUGAAAAGCCCGCUCGCCGGAAGACCAAGGGUUCCUGUCCAACGUUAAUCGGGGCAGGGUGAGUCGACCCCUAAGGCGAGGCCGAAAGGCGUAGUCGAUGGGAAACAGGUUAAUAUUCCUGUACUUGGUGUUACUGCGAAGGGGGGACGGAGAAGGCUAUGUUGGCCGGGCGACGGUUGUCCCGGUUUAAGCGUGUAGGCUGGUUUUCCAGGCAAAUCCGGAAAAUCAAGGCUGAGGCGUGAUGACGAGGCACUACGGUGCUGAAGCAACAAAUGCCCUGCUUCCAGGAAAAGCCUCUAAGCAUCAGGUAACAUCAAAUCGUACCCCAAACCGACACAGGUGGUCAGGUAGAGAAUACCAAGGCGCUUGAGAGAACUCGGGUGAAGGAACUAGGCAAAAUGGUGCCGUAACUUCGGGAGAAGGCACGCUGAUAUGUAGGUGAAGUCCCUCGCGGAUGGAGCUGAAAUCAGUCGAAGAUACCAGCUGGCUGCAACUGUUUAUUAAAAACACAGCACUGUGCAAACACGAAAGUGGACGUAUACGGUGUGACGCCUGCCCGGUGCCGGAAGGUUAAUUGAUGGGGUUAGCGGUAACGCGAAGCUCUUGAUCGAAGCCCCGGUAAACGGCGGCCGUAACUAUAACGGUCCUAAGGUAGCGAAAUUCCUUGUCGGGUAAGUUCCGACCUGCACGAAUGGCGUAAUGAUGGCCAGGCUGUCUCCACCCGAGACUCAGUGAAAUUGAACUCGCUGUGAAGAUGCAGUGUACCCGCGGCAAGACGGAAAGACCCCGUGAACCUUUACUAUAGCUUGACACUGAACAUUGAGCCUUGAUGUGUAGGAUAGGUGGGAGGCUUUGAAGUGUGGACGCCAGUCUGCAUGGAGCCGCGGGGUUGCGGACAGUGUCUGGUGGGUAGUUUGACUGGGGCGGUCUCCUCCUAAAGAGUAACGGAGGAGCACGAAGGUUGGCUAAUCCUGGUCGGACAUCAGGAGGUUAGUGCAAUGGCAUAAGCCAGCUUGACUGCGAGCGUGACGGCGCGAGCAGGUGCGAAAGCAGGUCAUAGUGAUCCGGUGGUUCUGAAUGGAAGGGCCAUCGCUCAACGGAUAAAAGGUACUCCGGGGAUAACAGGCUGAUACCGCCCAAGAGUUCAUAUCGACGGCGGUGUUUGGCACCUCGAUGUCGGCUCAUCACAUCCUGGGGCUGAAGUAGGUCCCAAGGGUAUGGCUGUUCGCCAUUUAAAGUGGUACGCGAGCUGGGUUUAGAACGUCGUGAGACAGUUCGGUCCCUAUCUGCCGUGGGCGCUGGAGAACUGAGGGGGGCUGCUCCUAGUACGAGAGGACCGGAGUGGACGCAUCACUGGUGUUCGGGUUGUCAUGCCAAUGGCACUGCCCGGUAGCUAAAUGCGGAAGAGAUAAGUGCUGAAAGCAUCUAAGCACGAAACUUGCCCCGAGAUGAGUUCUCCCUGACUCCUUGAGAGUCCUGAAGGAACGUUGAAGACGACGACGUUGAUAGGCCGGGUGUGUAAGCGCAGCGAUGCGUUGAGCUAACCGGUACUAAUGAACCGUGAGGCUUAACCUUACAACGCCGAAG